ACUCUUUUUGUUUACAUAUUUCCUAGUCUAAUUUCCUUUGUUGAUCUGCUCCUCUAGAUGAUGUUAGCUUGUUGUUAGUAAGAGGCAAAGGAGGCAUCCGGUGAUGCUGUUGACAGAAGAUAGAGAGCACAGAUGAUGACAUGCAAGGCCCUUUGCAUCUCAUUCCUUUGUGCUCUCUAUGCUUCUGUCAUCACCUUCAGCCUCUUGCUGAAUCCUCUUGAAUUAGUUCUCGAAUGAUUUGACCAUGCUAAUCUGCUGUUGUUGUUGUUGUUGUAUUCUUUUUUUCAGUCUAUCUCGAGAAAGUCUUUGAUGGAAUGCUGGAGCAGCAGUUUCAGAGACCUACAAGUAUCAUGAAAGUUUCUAAUCCAACGACCAUCUCGAGUUACUAAGAUGGUAUUUCCAGAACCGAUAUUAAUUUCCAAUCUACUACCAUAACGGAAAUUCUGGAGGUGCGUCUCCAUCCCCAAGUUCUACUCCUUCACCUCCAUGUUCAUGUGCACCGGAUAUGCAACACGACACAGCAUAGUCCUUUAAUCUAGAACUUGAAUCAAUAUUGAGCAGCACGAGAAUGCCAUAGAUUCCAAUUUCUGACUCCAGAAAAGGGGGAAGAGGCCUUAGCAACCUAGUAGAGAGCGCUUGUGCUCCAAUGAUCUUGCUAUCGGAGGUAGUCAAAUAUGUCCUUAAUUGUUUCUGAACUUGAACUUCAAUUACUGUGAUCAGCAUCUUUCAUAUGAUAGUUCAAAUUAAUUGCACCAUAUAUUUCUGAUACGAAAUCAGUCACUGUUUUUCGGAGUGAGGUUAGCAUCCGUAACUGAAGGCAUCCUUAUGAUGAGUCCGAGAAAAACUUCUCCUACUUUGCUUACAGAUGCUUGCUUGCAGCCUUUGUUCGAUUACUACAACUUGAAACAACUAAAUGAAAUUAUAUAUUGACAUGUAAGUAGGGACCUUUCUUUGCUAGCUUCUUAUCUUAUGAAUUGUUGAGUUGUUGGCUGGUUUAUAGAUCAUCUUCGAUAUUUCUCGUCUACCUCAGUUUUAAUGGAAUCUUUGUUUAAACAGCUGUGGUAUAUGGUUAAGCAUAUAUAGUCAAGAAAAUCAUCAUAUCCAUUCCUGAUAUGGAUACUGAUAUCUACAGUAGUUAGACUGCCUGGAUCAACGAGAUUGACAUAUAUCUUAAUUUUCCUUGUUAGCAGCUUAGUUUUAUUAAUAUGGUUUACAUGUGCAUGAAGAUACAAAACAAUAUCUCCGCGUCCCCCACUCUCUCUCUAUCUCUCUCUAAUUCUCUAGCCAUACUUUUUUUUGUUUCUUUUUUUUUUUUUUUUUUUUGCUAAGACGGGUGUUUCACACCACUCUAAUGUGAAUAUAUUCAAAAAAAUCAGAAAACAACAUUUCCCGAAGAGCCCUUAGCAUCCGUGCCUCAGUGGUCCAGAGAACCCUCGAAAGUGAUGUAGAAAAGCCUGCUGGCUCUUCUAGAUCGACAUUUGGCUAUACCUUUAAGUAUACCUACAUUGUACUCCCAUAGAUAUCAUGAGAUGCUUAAUAGCAAGAAUAUGGGGUAUAUACUAUAUAACAAAGUAAACUUAUGUUCCGAUCUUCUUCAACAAAAGAAAAGGAUAAGAGUUGGGAAGAAUCUGCAUGCCUUUGCUAUUAGUGGAAAUGGAUGAGCACUCUAUAGUGAAGAAAUGUGGCGAAGACAAAGCGAUGUUGUGACCGUGACCGUCGUAAGUGGGAAAGCCACCACUGGCAAAGAUGACAAAUUAUCCGGUUUCUAGGUACCAAGAAGGUGGUCUCAGCAAAGAUUCCUGUGGAUAUGUAAAAAGCAGCGGUUUUGAGCUAAGGAUUGCACUUGUUCUUAUUUAUUUACUUAUUUAUUUGUUUAUUUACCUUUCUUAUUCAAUGAAUUGGCUGGGGGCUGAACAACAUUGAUCUCUCAUUUUGUAUGACAACUGUGUGAAUAUUUUAGCCAAAAAAGAGAGUGAAUUAGUAUGGUGCGAUGCAAACUUGAAACAGAUAAGAUAUUGCAUACUUCUGCAAGUUGAAUCGGCGUACAGAUGAAAUAAUUGAAGGAAAUCAAUCAAUGAAAAGUUCUUAAGGA